UAUUUAUACAAAUAAAGCAAAAUAAAUGAUAAUGAAAUAGAUUCCCGGUCCCCUUAAGCUUCUGAAGGAGAGGACAUCCUAACCCUAACUCACUUUCCUUCUGAGGCUGCACAUGUUGUGAAAGACAUAAUUUCCCAGGAAAAUCUCGGGGUGCUGGUGGGAAGUAGAAAUGGAUGCUGGAUGGCUUAAAAGGCAAAAAUUUAUCACAGGUGUUUCCUAAACACUCAGUUGACAGAAAGCAACCCACCUGAACUGCAUUAAGAUCCAGUCUAUAAAACUCUACGGGGUCAUCUUCAGGUCAGAUGAAAGGCAUUAUUUCUUGGUGGUUUGGAACAUAGAUUCUAUAGCCAAACUGAAUGGACUAAAAGACCAGCUCGUUAGCCUGCAGGUCUUUGGAACUUCUCUUGUGUAAGGGCUUCCCUGAUGGCUCAGCAGAAAAGAACCCACCUGCCAAUGCGGGAGAUGCAAGAGACGCAGGUUCAGUUCCUGGGUGGGCAAGAUCUCCUGGAGAAGGAAACGGCACUAAGCAACAACCUUUGUGUAACUGUAACUUCAUGUGCUUAGUCACUCAGUUAUGGCUGACUCUGUGCGACCCCAUGGACUAUGGCCUGCCAGUCUCCUUUGUCCACGGAAUUUUCCAGGUGAAUUCUUUACUUCUGUGCCACCUGGGACACUCUCAACCAACCUGGGAUGUUGAUAAAUAUAGUUAAUCCUGGUGAACAUGGGUUUGAAUUUUGUGGUCCAUUUUAACAUAGAUUUUCUUUUUUAAGUAAAAACAGUACUAUAUAAUUGGUAGUUGGUUGAAUUCAUGGAUGAGGAACUGCACAUACCGAAGGCCCAGUCUGGAACUUGAGCACCCUGAGAUUUUGGUAUUGACAGCACGUCCUGGAACCAGUUUCCUGUGGAUACAAAGGGAUGAUUGUAGUUCACUCCUUUUUUACAGCCAAAUAGUAAUCUAUUUUCAAAAAUAUAUCAAAAGUUUCUUAAUCAUUUAUCUGUUGAUGGACAUUUGAGUUCUUUCCAGUUUGUGUAUUUUGAAGGAAUGGUCUUGUAGACGUCUUCUCUGAUCAGUAUUUUGAUUUUUCUUAGGUAAUAUCCUAGGAGAAGAAUUGUUGGGUUACAGAGUAGCUCUCUAUUUAACAUUUUUAAAACUGCUUUUCCAAAGUGGUAGUAUCAUUUUACACUCUCACCUGCACAAUAUGAAAAUUCCAUGUGCUCAAUGGCCUUGCCAAUGAUUGAAACUUGUUAGUCUUUUGCAAAUUAGGAGAUAUAAUAAUAUUUCACUGUGGCUUGAAUUUUCAUUUCCUUCAUGUUUUAAGGAUGCUGAGAACAUUUUCAUGUACUUGGUCAUUUGGAUGUCCUCCUCAGUAAAGUGUCUUUUCAAAUUUUGGUCAAUCUUUAUUAGCUUGUUUUUAUUUUAUUACAUUAAAUGAGUUUUUUCCUUUAAUAUAUUCUGGAU
ensembl:lncRNA